GAUGAAGAACGUAGCGAAAUGCGAUACGUAAUGUGAAUUGCAGAAUUCAGUGAAUCAUCGAGUCUUUGAACGCACAUUGCGCCCCCUGGUAUUCCGGGGGGCAUGCCUGUCCGAGCGUCAUUGCUGCCCUCAAGCACGGCUUGAGUGUUGGGCCUCCGUCCUCCUCCCGGGGGGCGGGCCCGAAAGGCAGCGGCGGCACCGCGUCCGGUCCUCGAGCGUAUGGGGCUUCGUCACCCGCUCUUGUAGGCCCGGCCGGCGCUUGCCGACACAUCAAUCUUUUUUCCAGGUUGACCUCGGAUCAGGUAGGGAUACCCGCUGAACUUAAGCAUAUCAAUAAGCGGAGGA
rnacentral:misc_RNA from 1 species